UGGCGGCGUGCCUAAUACAUGCAAGUCGAACGGUCUUUCUAUGGAAGCUUGCUUCCACUGAGAAGAUAGUGGCGAACGGGUGAGUAACACGUGGGUAACCUGCCCAUAAGAGGGGGAUAACAUCCGGAAACGGGUGCUAAUACCGCAUAGUUUUCUUGAUCGCAUGAUCGGGAAAGGAAAGACGGCCUUUGUGCUGUCGCUUAUGGAUGGACCCGCGGCGUAUUAGUUAGUUGGUGAGGUAACGGCUCACCAAGGCGAUGAUACGUAGCCGACCUGAGAGGGUGAUCGGCCACAUUGGGACUGAGACACGGCCCAAACUCCUACGGGAGGCAGCAGUAGGGAAUCUUCCGCAAUGGACGAAAGUCUGACGGAGCAACGCCGCGUGAGUGAAAGAAGGUUUUCGGAUCGUAAAACUCUGUUGUCAGAGAAGAACAAGUUGGAGAGUAACUGCUCCAGCCUUGACGGUAUCUGACCAGAAAGCCACGGCUAACUACGUGCCAGCCGCCGC
rnacentral:rRNA from 1 species